UACGGAGGGUCCAAGCGUUAUCCGGAAUCAUUGGGUUUAAAGGGUCCGUAGGCGGUUUUGUAAGUCAGUGGUGAAAGCCCAUCGCUCAACGGUGGAACGGCCAUUGAUACUGCAAGACUUGAAUUAUUAGGAAGUAACUAGAAUAUGUAGUGUAGCGGUGAAAUGCUUAGAGAUUACAUGGAAUACCAAUUGCGAAGGCAGGUUACUACUAAUGGAUUGACGCUGAGGUGCGAAAGCGUGGGGAGCAAACAGG
rnacentral:rRNA from 1 species